rnacentral:rRNA from 1 species
GAUGAACGCUGGCGGCGUGCCUAAUACAUGCAAGUCGAGCGAACGGACGAGAAGCUUGCUUUUCUGAUGUUAGCGGCGGACGGGUGAGUAACACGUGGAUAACCUACCUAUAAGACUGGGAUAACUUCGGGAAACCGGAGCUAAUACCGGAUAAUAUUUUGAACCGCAUGGUUCAAAAGUGAAAGACGGUCUUGCUGUCACUUAUAGAUGGAUCCGCGCUGCAUUAGCUAGUUGGUAAGGUAACGGCUUACCAAGGCAACGAUGCAUAGCCGACCUGAGAGGGUGUACGGCCACACUGGAACUGAGACACGGUCCAGAAUCCUAAGGGAGGCAGCAGUAGGGAAUCUUCCGCAAUGGGCGAAAGCCUGACGGAGCAACGCCGCGUGAGUGAUGAAGGUCUUCGGAUCGUAAAACUCUGUUAUUAGGGAAGAACAUAUGUGUAAGUAACUGUGCACAUCUUGACGGUACCUAAUCAGAAAGCCACGGCUAACUACGUG